CGCUGGUGUUUAGUUAAGAAAAAACAAUACACAUUAAUAGGUUUUGAUUACGCUAUGACACAGACUGGAAGAUGAUAGAGAAAUUCUGAAGAGUUACUAAAAAGCCUCUACUCAUAGAAAACAUUUUGCAAGCUUAAUUACUUAUUUUUUACGUUAUUUAGUAAUUUUUCCAAUAUUUAUUUCCGGUAAUAUAUCAGGUAGCAGUCAUAAAAAAUGUAUCACAAAACUUUAGUAUUAGUUUUGUCGUUUUUGUUUGUAACGACGGAGCCGGCAAAAAUUCUAGGAGUGUUUCCAAUGCCGUCCUUAAGUCAUCAAGUUGUCUUCAGUAGAAUAACUCAGGAACUUGCUAAAAGGGGUCAUGAAGUGACAGUUAUUACAACAG
rnacentral:misc_RNA from 1 species